ensembl:lncRNA
CUGAUCUGAACCGUUUCUUUCAGGGAAGGUUCUCUGUCCGUUUAUUUACCUUUUCAAAGGCCUUGUGACCUGCUGUUCCUCCUCAUACAGGUUUCAUAAGCUGGAAUACAGCGGCCCACUCAGCCCUUGUUUUCUUCCUAAGUGCUUUUUGUCCCGCGCGGUGACUCCCGAAGAAGACGAUGCCCGCUGUAAGACAGGAGAGAACACGGAACCGACCCCGUUGGUGCAGAAAAUGCGAACCGCGAAAGCCAUUUAUGUGUAACACAGUGUGACAGCUUCUAAAACCUGACGCUGAUGGGACUGAAGCCCCCUCCGCCCUCCGUUUCUGCUGCUGUACACAGUGGAUGUGAGAGGAGGCCAAACAAAGCACUGGGAAAUAAAAGAGGAGCUCAACAGCGGAGCGUAAGUGUGAUGGAGGUGAUGGGGGGCCGAGAAGGAAGGGAGACGCGAGUCACGAGGAGCUGCUGAAGAGCGAAAAGGAAGAGCAGAUUCAAACUGACCAUUAAGCGGAUACGUGCAGUUUGCACUUGCACCAGCUAAUUUUCAAAAUAUGCUGAUUGAUGGAAGCUGUAGUACAAAACUAAGAAUGUAAUUUAGCUUCAUUUUAAUAAAGCAGAUUUGACAUUCUAGUGCGAUAACAAGUCUCUGUAUCUCCUCGCUAAUUAGGGCUGCCCUGUGUAUUAGAUAAUGCGGGUCAUUUGUCAGGGAGCCGCCGCCCAUUCUAUGUUCAGAUAAUCAUAUUUAUA